rnacentral:lncRNA from 1 species
GAAGAUUGAGAAAAAAAAUCACUUACCAGUAAUAUGAGGUAAAGCUUAAAAAAAUAAAAAAAAAUUCCACCGGCAGAUUUAGCACGCGCGGUCGCGGGUGCUCUCCAGGUGCUGGAUCCGCGCCUGUUUACUAACCACCAAACUUUUAUUGAGAAAUUCAAGGUAAACUUGGAGGAGUUCGUAUUGGUAGGGUUGGAUGAAGUCGUUAGUUUUUAUAAAUUGGAGAAGGUUCUGAUGUUUGAUGGGAAGUUUAAUGAAACUGUAGUAA